UCGGCCAAGGGCUGCAAGAUUCCAAGUAUCCACAGUGCAAUAAAUAAAGUUCCCAGUCCAGCUAGUUUGAACUAUGUUUUAAUGCCUUUGGAUACUAGGGAUGCCCAGGUGCAGGACAUCCUGGAAGGAGCGGAACUGACUGUAUCGGCAGUCCUGUUCGCGACUGUCGUAAUCAGGGAAGCGAUCCGCCAAUUGUUGGUUGUUAGUAUUCCUGGUUAUGAGAGUCUGAACAGUAUAGCUCUGGUCCUGCACCAGUUCCCUAUCCUCAUGCCUCCCCGUAUGUUAGAUGAUGACUUGAACAUCUGUCUAGCUGGCGGUUGAUGAUGUCCAUGUUUCGAAUCGUGGUGAUUACCCUGUCUUGUCACAUGUAUUUACGUAACUGACGUAUAGGCGAGUGACAAGGUAGCACUAUCAUGACGAAGUAUGAUUGCGUGGACGGCCAUCACUAGGGAGUUCCGUAGUGAUUUUUCAAUGGAGCGUAGCCUUGGGUGUGAGCAGGCAGCCUAUUCCAGUCACAUUCAAAGUGAACUGUUUGUUUGCAACAGGAGUUGCGCCCUUUUGGGAAGUUACUCCGGAAUUUAACGAUCCUUAGGGAGGAUUCUCCAGGACAAUCAUAUUGAAAUAGCCGAAUGAGGAGGGCACGGAACAACGCAGUUGGUUUGGGUGCAUACCUAGAUUAGCUGUGUUGUUUUGGGUGGGAUUGGGUUAUUCGUGAGUAAGAAGAUCAUGUAUCAAUGCUUCUUUUUUGUCUUCAUUUUCAUGUCAUGCCUGGGCCUACGACUGGAGGACGGUCGCACCAGGACAACCGAAUCAAGACGUCUCCGGUGUGAUAUCUAUCACAUUGGAAACAACAGCAACAACAACAACCUGAUGGCACUCAGGUUCGGGAAAGUAUUCGUAUCGUUAUUUUAUAGUUUUUAUAUUUUAUUAACAUCCCUUUCUUUGCAGAGCAUGGACAACAAUAACAAAGCGGCAAUGUGGGAAAGGGAAGUCAUUUGUGAUUGUAGAAGGUAUUGUUUUGAUUCACAGCAUGUUGAACGAACUGUUGUGGAUGUACCUAGAACAUCGCAGCACGGGGUUUUUCUUCUGCACAUUUCCAACAACAGUACUUGUUCGGUAACUUGGCUGAAAAUGUAGCACAGUUACCGAAUGUUGCUCGCAAACUGGGCUGAACGAAAAAUGACGAGGGGACCGAUGCAUAACAUUUUCUCUACAAAUGUAAAAUGAUGGUUGCUUAAAUUUCUUUCAGAGCUCACCUUUAAUUUUGACUUAACAUUUAAUUAAAACUUAAAUAUGAUUUCUAAUUUGCUGAACUUGCUUUUGCAUCCACUGGCCCCUCAUCAUUCCGGUUUGUUUGGUUAUUUUACAUUUGUCUGCUUUUUAAGUGGGCUACAGCCCAAGUAGUCCCGUCAAACAAGCUCAGUUAUCGAACAAGUACUGUACUUUAAUUUUGCUUCACUCAUCUUUCUACUCUUCUGCUCUCAUUUCCCAAUAAAUACUGAAACGUGUUUUCCCUAACAAAACCAGUUUCCCUUAACACUGAAACGCCCAACGCAUGUCCAACUUACACGGACGCCCAAGCCUCCCAAAAAAGUUGGAACGGUAACUUC
rnacentral:lncRNA from 1 species